rnacentral:lncRNA from 1 species
CAUCGUCUCACGUGAGAUGACACGCAGGUACAUGAUGGACAUGAUCACCUAUGCUGAUACCGAUGUGGUGGUCGUCGGUGCCGGCUCCGCCGGGCUCUCUUGUGCCUAUGAGCUUAGCAAGAACCCCUCCGUACAGAUAGCUAUUGUCGAGCAGUCUGUUAGCCCCGGAGGUGGUGCCUGGCUCGGUGGGCAGCUUUUCUCUGCCAUGGUAAAUCUUAAAAAAACAAAAAUCAUUUUGGGUUCUCUUUUAUGAAAUUUCUUUUGUUUUAAGGCCUUGAAAUUGUCUCAAACUCUAUGUUUAUUCAGGUAGUGCGGAAACCAGCUCAUCGCUUCCUCGACGAACUCGCCAUUGAAUAUGAUGAACAAGACGACUAUGUUGUGAUCAAGCAUGCAGCCCUUUUCACAUCCACUAUCAUGAGCAAGCUUCUAGCCCGCCCCAACGUGAAGCUGUUCAACGCUGUGGCGGCGGAGGACUUAAUAGUGAAGGAAGGGAGAGUUGGUGGUGUUGUGACAAACUGGGCCCUGGUGUCAAUGAACCAUGACACACAGUCCUGCAUGGACCCUAAUGUGAUGGAGGCCAAGGUGGUGGUGAGCUCUUGUGGUCAUGAUGGGCCAUUUGGAGCCACCGGGGUGAAGAGGUUGAAAAGCAUUGGGAUGAUUGAUAGUGUGCCAGGGAUGAAGGCACUGGAUAUGAAUACAGCUGAGGAUGCUAUAGUGAGGCUGACUAGGGAAAUUGUGCCUGGGAUGAUUGUCACCGGGAUGGAAGUUGCUGAGAUUGAUGGAUCCCCAAGAAUGGUAAUUUUAUUCCCACUUGCACAGUCAUUUUUAUUACUGUUGUUGUUGGACUAUUAUUAACAUAUUAACAAAUACAGGGGCCAACAUUUGGAGCAAUGAUGAUAUCAGGGCAAAAGGCAGCCCAUCUUGCCCUGAAAUCAUUAGGAUUGCCUAAU